rnacentral:rRNA from 1 species
AGUGAACGCUGGCGGUAUGCCUAACACAUGCAAGUCGAACGGCAGCACAGUAAUAGCUUGCUCUUACGGGUUGCGGGUGGCGUACGGAUGAGGAAUGCAUCGUGAUCUACUUUUUCGGGUGGGAUAACGUAGGGAAACUUACUCUAAUACCGCAUACGACCUACGAGGGAAGGCGGUGGAUCUUCGCACCGGGCGCGAUUGAAUUAGCCGAUGUCGGAUUAGCUGGUGGGCGGGGUAAAGGCCCACCAAGGCGACGAUCCGUAGCUGGUGUGGGAGGAUGGUCAGCCACACUGGAAGUGAGCCACGGUCAAGAGUACUAAGGGAGGCACCAGUGGCGAAUAUUGGACAAUGGGGGCAAGCAUGAUACAGCCAGACCGAGCGGGUGAAGAAGGCCUUCGGGUUGUAAAGACCUUUUGUUGGGAAAGAAACGCAGUCGGUUAAUACGAAGCUGUUCUGACGGUACUCAAAGAAUAAGCACCGGCUAACUUCGUG